rnacentral:rRNA from 1 species
GGGGCGCAGCAGGUGCGAACCUCCACNAUGUACGAAAGUGCGAUGGGGGAAUCCUAAGUGCUGGCGCAAUGCGUCAGCUUUUCUCGAGUCUAAAUCGCUUGAGGAAUAAGUGGUGGGUAAGACCGCUGCCAGCCGCCGCGGUAAUAGCGGCGCCACAAGUGGCAUCCAUUUAUAUUGGGUUUAAAGCAUCCGUAGCCGGCCUGAUAAGUCUACUGUGAAAUCCUAUAGAAAACUAUAGGGCGUGCGGUAGAAACUAUUACGGCUUGGGACCAGGAGAGGUCAGAGGUACUCCUAGGGUAGCGGUAAAAUGCUGUAAUCCUAGGGGGACCACCUGUGGCGAAGGCGUCUGACUGGAAUGGAUCCGACGGUGAGGGAUGAAAGCUAGGGGAGCGACCCGGAUUAGAUACCCGGUUAGUCCUAGCUGUAAACGAUGCUCACUUGGUAUUGGAAAUCUUUCGUGGAUUUCCAGUGCCGAAGGGAAACCGUUAAGUGAGCCACCUGGGGAGUACGGUCGCAAGGCUGAAACUUAAAGGAAUUGGCGGGGGAGCAC